rnacentral:lncRNA from 1 species
AAGACACCUUUGUACAAAGUGGUACUUCAUUCCAGACAACCAUGGCAGCUGUGCCCUCAGCCCCUUAACAGUCUCAGGCAGCUCACUGUGGAGCGUCCAGCCAGGCUGUUGGAAAUGAAACUCAGAGCAGCACUGCUCUAGGCAGGUCACAGGCCAGGAUCCAGAGGCCUGUUGCAGAGUGGCUGAUAAGGUCUUAACCCUGCUGGAGUUUGUGAAGGGCUCAGCCAGUACGCCUCACUUGGAUCAAACUUCCAUACACGAAGCACAGCCUGCCCAAGAAUGCAUCACGUUAUGUAUGGCAGAGAGACCAGGAAAGCCGCAUGCUCAGUCCCCACUGGAAAAUGGGCAGCCUGGAUUAUAAGGGUCACAAGAAUUUCCAGUUGUAGCAGGAAGCCCAGCAAGCAGACUGGGUCUCCAUCAGGGUUCAAUCAGGACAGAGCUGAUGUGCAGCAAGUGGGGAGAUUGGUCUUGAUCAUGUAAAAUAAUAAUUCCUCCAUGUAGUCUUCUAUUCUUCUGUCAAAUUCAG